UCUUUGAACAUUUGGAGUUCAAAGAGGGGAACUCAUUCUCCCAACUUGGAUUUUGAGAGCAUGAAGAUGGAUUUGGAAGCUCUCCUACAAUCUUGACUUGUAGGAAAGAGAAAGGGAAAUGCAACUUAGAGGUUGCAAAUCAUGAAUGCCCUUGAACAUUUUGUAUUCAAAGAGAAGUAACCAUUCACUUAUUUUUAUAUUAAAUGAAUGGGAAAGUUUCUUUGAAUAUCCGAUGUCCAAAGAAAGAGAUAAACAUUCACUUAAUUCAAAUUAAGUGAAUGGUGGAGUAUUCCUAAGAGUCAAAUCCCAGAGGCUUUGCUUAUAUUCUUUUGAGCCUUUCUAGAGAUCGUUUGAGAAUCUCUACAUAGGCUUUAAAGACCAUUAGCAAAGAAGGCAUUUGUUGCCUUAUGCUCCAACAAAGAAAAUGAAGGAAUUCAGACCGCAACUCUGAAUUUGUUUGUAACUUUUUAGGCCCCUCUAGAGGUCAUUUGGGCACCUCUAUAUGGGCUUUGAAGGCUACUAGCAAAAGAAAAA